rnacentral:misc_RNA from 1 species
GAUGAAGAACGCAGCGAAAUGCGAUACGUAAUGUGAAUUGCAGAAUUCAGUGAAUCAUCGAAUCUUUGAACGCAUAUUGCGCUCUCUGGUAUUCCGGAGAGCAUGCUUGUUUGAGUAUCAGUAAACACCUCAACUCCCUUUUCUUUUUUGAAAUUGGAGCUGGACUUGAGUGAUCCCAACGCUUUCUUCCAAGAAAGUGGCGGGUUCUUGAAAUGCAGGUGCAGCUGAACUUUUCUCUGAGCUAUAAGCAUAUCUAUUUAGUCUGCCUAAAAAACAGAUUAUUACCUUUGCUGCAGCUAACAUAAAGGAGACUAGUUCUUGUGCUGACUGAUGCAGGAUUCACAGAGACAGCUUCGGCUGACUUUGUAAACUCGAUCUCAAAUCAAGUAAGACUACCCGCUGAACUUAAGCAUAUCAAUAAGCGGAGGA